rnacentral:rRNA from 1 species
CACGUAGGCACCAAGCGUUGUCCGGAUUUAUUGGGCGUAAAGAGCUCGUAGGCGGUUCAGUAAGUCAGGUGUGAAAUCUGGGGGCUCAACCCCCAGCCUGCAGUGGGUACGGGCAGACUAGAGUGCGGUAGGGGAGAUUGGAAUUCCUGGUGUAGCGGUGGAAUGCGCAGAUAUCAGGAGGAACACCGAUGGCGAAGGCAGAUCUCUGGGCCGUAACUGACGCUGAGGAGCGAAAGCGUGGGGAGCGAACAGG